UCCUUUACAGCUUCAGUGUGUCUGUGGAAACAGGCUGAUCAGUACAUUUGAAGAGGAACGUAACUUUUUGAAGACAAACCUUCCUAGUGAUAAAAAAUAUGUUAGAUCUUUACCCUGCUAGUGGAGAGUGUGAGCUACCAAUAUGAAUACCCCGAGGGUCAACAUGAUCUGGAGAGCUUGUGGAAAGAAGAAAAGUACUGGCACAUUUCUCUUUGCUAUGAGUCCAUACCACUCCUAUGUGUUUUCAUAAGGGUAGAGAGAGGAAAGAGUGAUGAUACUAUUUUUAUUCAAAGGAAGUCACCACUCAUCCCUUUUCUUCAUGGGCUCUAUAUUUCCUGUUCCAUUAUUUUACUCCUGUUUUACAAGAUAAAAUCAUGCUUCAUUUGAGCUUCUGAAGGGUAAGAGAAAAUCCUCAUUCUCAGGAUACUACAGUGAUUGUUGGGGGAUCUUCCUGGAUAGAUGGCAGAUCCCAGGACUUCAGGAUGUUCUUGUCUCAUGUAAAAUUCGGGAACCAAUCAAUACACAUGACCCCACUGUUGUGUCUCAUGGCCCAAAGGAUUUCAUCUCCACCACAAUCUUCCCUACCAUGAGGGGCUGUUGAUUUGACACCAGAAGAGCAGUUUCCCAUUGACUCCAAGGAAGAAGGGACAUGACAGAACAGGAAAAUAUGGAUUCUUGAUGAAAGAUUGGAAUCAAUAUACCAAGUAUCCCUCACUACAGGACCAAGGCUGUUCUGGCCUCACCCCAGCACCGUGCUACCAAACAACAGCAGCCUGAACUUUGCCUCAGAAAACACAGUUUAUAUUUGGAACCACUGCUGAAGUUGAGUUGACUUUUAAAAUCAGAAUAGUCAUAUGUUAGGCAAAAUCUCAGCUGACACUCAGAAUGUUCAAUUUUGUGUAAUAUCUUUCCCCAUGAGUGUGGGCAGAACCUGGGAAACAUGAUGAGAUACCACUUCCAUGAUUACGUUCUUUUGUAUAGGUGAGUCUGAGCUAAAUAAGCUCUUUAUAAGCAGAGAAUUUUCUCUGGUGAGCAGAGGAGGAAAAGUUAGAGAUUCAAAGCAUGGGAAAGUGCAGCGUUGCUUAAUAGGAGAUAUGGUGGGCACAUGGCGAAGAACUGGGUAGUCCUUAGGUGCUGAGAGCACCCCUGGGUGACAGCCAUCAAGGGAAUGGAGACUUCAGUUUCGUUAGUCAUUGGGGAAUGAUUUCUAUAGCAACAUAAGUGGUAUUGAAACCAGAUUUUACCUAAAGCCUUCAGAUUACACCUCACCAAAUCUG